CAGCAGCCGCGGUAACACGAAGGGUGCAAGCGUUAAUCGGAAUUACUGGGCGUAAAGCGUGCGUAGGCGGUGAGUUAAGUCUGCUGUGAAAUCCCCGGGCUCAACCUGGGAAUGGCAGUGGAUACUGGCUCGCUAGAGUGUGUCAGAGGAUGGUGGAAUUCCCGGUGUAGCGGUGAAAUGCGUAGAGAUCGGGAGGAACAUCAGUGGCGAAGGCGGCCAUCUGGGACAACACUGACGCUGAGGCACGAAAGCGUGGGGAGCAAACAGGAUUAGAUACCCCGGUAGUCCCUGUCUCUUAUAU
rnacentral:rRNA from 1 species